rnacentral:rRNA from 1 species
UGUUUAGGAAUAGCGCGACCGAAGGUUGAUCUAAGCGCAAGUCCUCCUGACUGAGGCUCUCGCCCAUUGAGGGUGCAAGGCCCGUGGUCGCUUAUGAUCUCCGGCGGAAGCAAAAUUCCUUGGAGUCGGGUUGCUUGAGAGUGCAGCCCUAAGUGGGUGGUAAACUCCAUCUAAGGCUAAAUACGACCACGAAACCGAUAGCGAACAAGUACCGUGAGGGAAAGUUGAAAAGAACUUUGAAGAGAGAGUUCAAGAGUGCGUGAAACCGUUUAGAGGUAAACGGGUGGGCCCUCGAAGGUGAUCGUCGGAGGGAUUCAGUCGGACGUGACCGUAAGCGUCGUUCGUCUCUAACGGUGCGGACCUCGGUCGGCCGGGCGGGCGAAGGCUGCGGGCCGUUUGGCGCAUUUCCUUCCGUUCGAACUACGCUGCGACCAGUCUGGUCACUGAAAGUUGUCGUCCUUGAAAACGGGCGAUGGAAGGUGGCCGGCGGCGUCUCUCGGGAUGCCGUCGGUGUUUAUAGCCGGUUCGUUUCACGAGUGAGCGUUCAUCAGACUGGGGACGAUUCUAGCCCUGUGCGGGCUACGCCGAGCACUCCGUUUGGAGCGUUGCGGGACGACUGGAUGCGCCUGCGGUCGGUGGUUUCACCUUUGUGUGGGCUAACGCCGUAGGUCUCCGUAAGCUCGUUCCGUACUCGCCGUUGCUCAGGUGGUCAGCAGCGAGUAGGUCGGUAAUCUCACCGACCCGUCUUGAAACACGGACCAAGGAGUCUAACAUGUGCGCGAGUCAUUGGGUCUUGAAUAGGCCCAAAGGCGUAAUGAAAGUGAAGGGCGGUUCGGCCGUCUGCCUUGGGAUCCCGUGAACCUCGCGUUCGCGGGCGCACCAAGGGCCCGUCCCGGUCGCCUCGUCGACGGGGCGGAGCAAGAGCGUACACGUUGGGACCCGAAAGAUGGUGAACUAUGCCUGGGCAGGACGAAGCCAGAGGAAACUCUGGUGGAGGUCCGCAGCGAUUCUGACGUGCAAAUCGAUCGUCAGACCUGGGUAGGGGCGAAAGACUAAUCGAACCAUCUAGUAGCUGGUUCCCUCCGAAGUUUCCCUCAGGAUAGCUGGUGCUCGGAGGAUGCAGUCUCAUCCGGUAAAGCGAAUGAUUAGAGGCCUUGGGGUCGAAAAGACCUCAACCUAUUCUCAAACUUUAAAUGGGUGAGAAGUCUGUUUUGCUCGACUGAAGCCCGGACGGCAACUUGGAUGCGAGUGCCAAGUGGGCCACUUUUGGUAAGCAGAAUUGGCGCUGUGGGAUGAACCAAACGCCGGGUUAAGGGGCCCGAUGCGAGACGCUCAUGAGAUCCCAUGAAAGGUGUUGGUUGCUAUAGACAGCAGGACGGUGGCCAUGGAAGUCGGAAUCCGCUAAGGAGUGUGUAACAACUCACCUGCCGAAGCAACUAGCCCUGAAAAUGGAUGGCGCUUCAGCGUCGACCCCAUACCCGGCCGCCGCGGCCGAAAAGCCUCGUGUUUUAAGCCGCGGUGAGUAGGAGGGGCGCGGAGGCGAGCGUCGAAGGUGCCGGGCGUAAGCCCGCCUGGAGCCGCCUCCGGCGCAGAUCUUGGUGGUAGUAGCAAAUACUCAAGUGAGAACCUUGAGGACUGAGGUGGAGAAGGGUUCCAUGUGAACAGCAGUUGAACAUGGGUCAGUCGGUCCUAAGGGAUAGGAGAAAUCCGUUCCGAGGCGGGACCUAAUUUAUUAUGAAAGUCCCGCUGAUGACCGAAAGGGAAUCGGGUUAAUAUUCCCGAACCCGGACGCGGAGAUCGUCCUCUUCGGAGGUACAUUGCGGUAACGCAAACGAGCUCGGAGACGUCGACGGGAGCACCGGGAAGAGUUAUCUUUUCUUUGUAAGGAUUCGACUCCCUGGAAUCGGCUCGCCCGGAGAUAGGGAUGGUGUUUCCGUAAAGCACCGCGCCUCUUGCGGUGUCCGGAUCGCUCCCGUCGGCCCUUGAAAAUCCGAGUGAGAGAUAGUGAUUUUCGUGCCGGACCGUACCCAUAUCCGCA